UCCUAAGGCCAGCUCAGUGAGGACAGAAACCUCGCGUAGAGCAAAAGGGCAAAAGCUGGCUUGACCUUGCCCUUCAGUACGGGGCGAGGAGCAGAAAUGUCGGCCUAUC